rnacentral:lncRNA from 1 species
GGACGCCUCUGGCGACGGAAUUAUUAGGUUGGUUCGCUGUCUCGUUUUUGCGACAAAAAACGCAGGCUCGACGAAAAGGAAAAGAAUGUCAACAUUGAAAGUAAAACAAAAGGGAUGGACCAUUUAGUUGACUUUUUCAAUCCACAAAAAGAUCAUUCUUAUACAGAAAGAAACGAUGAUAAAAUUUUGUUGGAGGUAUAUAAGCUUAAGUUUGGAGGUCUUAAAGAACUCAUAAAAACACGGAAAUAUGAAAAUGUGACUCUUAACGCCAUCAAUUUG